AAGCUCAUUGUUCAGACAGAAGAAUCCACUAGACCCAUGAUUUCAAUUUAUGUACUUUUUGGAGGAGGGAGAAAUGAAUCUGGAAAAUCGCAGAUACGUCCCUGAGCUGCACCAAUUCAACCUUCUCCUCAACUGUUAAAAGCUUUUUUUCUGGCACCCUGAAACACAAAGGUCAAGUGGGGGCACUGGUCAAAACCGUGGCUUAGCUUUGCUUUUGUGUGGGAUGUCUUGGGUUCGAAUCACGAUUGCCUCUCCUUCUUCCCGGCAUCCGGCAAGACCCAACAACUACCGGUAAAGUCCACACCUCUGAGGUAUAUUAAAGAUAGUGGUGCCCCCGCCAUCUUUAAAUCCUGGGUCCGCCUCUAGCUAGUUAUCACAUUAUUUGCAAUGAGAAGAGGAGCUAUGUCUUCAGACAUACCUAAUCCCCUUGAAAUGCUGCAGCGUAUUACACAGAAAUGGAAUUCCUAUGCUCAUAUUCCUACAACUCUGAAACGGAUUGCAGAGGAAUGUCAUUCAUUCCGUAUGGUUUUAGACGGAUAUCAUUUUUCAGAGGGAUCUUGUUCCCUUGACACACUGCACGGGAUUGAAGAGGACUGGGGCUCAUUCCUUGAGUUCUCAGAUGAGUAUCUGUCAAAGUUAUCUCAUCUACGUGAAACUCUGACGCAAACCGAAGAUGAAUGCAGCUCAUUCCAUAUAUUUCUUUCAGAGGAAUCUGAUUCCCUUGACACUCUGCAGUACAAGAUACGUCGUCUCCAAGACAAUCUUUGGCGGACUGUAGAGGAAUGCGGUUCUUUACUUAUAUUUUCAGAGAAAUAUUUGGAAUAUUUCCCCUUUGAAACUCUGCAGAGGAUCAAAGAUGAAUGUGAUUAUCUCGAUCGGGACCUCUUUGCAUUUGAUGAAUUUAAGCUCCUUGAAAGGAAUUUCAACUUCCUUAAAAGGGAUUUCAAGUUUUUGGAUAUCAUUCUCAACUUGCAGAUCUUCAGAGUUCAAUCAGAUCUCUUAAGAGAAGUCCGAGAUCUGUUUAAAGUUGCUGUAGCUGAUCUCAUCCAGGUCUACAGAAGACAAGGGAUCCACCAAUUUUAUGGCCGUGUCUCCGAAUUGCAAAAUAAGUUUUGGCAGACUAAGUUGGAAAUCAGAAAAGCUAAAUACUCUUUUUCCGAAGUAUCAUAUGAACUUUUAGACGACAACGAUGCUACUCUUAUUUUCAAUUUUGUUUUGGAAUUCAUUGAUACCGUGAUAGAGAAUCUCAGUGAUCUACUGAAACUUGAUAAUCCAAGUUCACCCCUUCAUGUUGGGGGACUCGUGGAUCAAGUUGAAAAGGCUUUAAAGGAGUUGAAGUUCAUUAGAAGUUUUUUCUGCUUUGUUUCAGACAGAUGCGUAGAGCCUCGUGUCAAGUAUUUAUUCUUUUCUCAUUCUUUAGAAGUAGCGUUGCACACAACAAUGGUUACUUGGUUGUAUCUUCCAAGAAAUGAAAAGAUCUAUCGAGACUUUGCUGCAGAUAAAGGGUAUCCCUUGUUUUCUGAUCUAAUGCGGAAAAAAAUUCAACAUAUUGGGCCAAGCAUCUAUAUUGAAGUCCUCCAAGCUAUAAAGUUAGUGCAGUCACAAUGGUAUCCUGUUAUCCAAAUUAAGUAUGCGGUAGAUUGUGAAGUUGGAUUUUUGAGGCUCUCCUACACAUUUUGGAGGAGCUACAAAUUUCUGGUUAUUGCAUAGCAAAAAAAGUAACCCUUCAGGAGACACUCAACUUCUUGAGAACCAAUCUCAUAGAUCUACCAACAACGGUGCUUGAAUUUCAUCUUCAAGAUAUAGACUCUGUGAUUGCUGAUGCAGGAAUUCUGGUUUACUCUGUGUUUGUUGAUGCAGAAAUUCUGCUUUACUUAUUAAACGAAAAGGAGUAGGGUGAUCUUGAUUUCCGAGUCAAAAUUCAUAAUCUCCUAGCAAUGAUUUAUCUCAUCACAAGAAAGACAUUUCUCCUUCAGUCCAACUUGCCUGGAAUUGACAGAGUGGGCUCUGCUGAUUUUAUUUUAGACAACAGGGAGAAGUUUCUAAGCCUCUAUUCAAAUUCAGUUGAUUCUGUCAAGAGCCAACUUCAGACAAUUCAGCAAGAACUCAAGUGCUUUCAAGCUGUUGUAGAAACACAAGACAUACUUCAACAUUUUGUAACACAUACAAAUGGUUUGGUGUAUGAAGUAGAAUAUGUUUUGGAUGCUUGUAAGAAAAAAGAUUUUCCUGAUUGGUGUCUUUUUCUCUGGAUCUUGAACAUUGGAGAGGAUAUUAGAGUGCUCAUGGCAGAGGUAGCAGAGGUUCCAGAAAUUACUGCGUUUGACUUGGUAUUGCAUAACAUCACAGAUGCUGCCCCUACACAUACUUCUUCGCGAUUUGCCAGCAAUCCAAGCACAAAUGAAGAGAUGGUGGGCUUCAAGGAUGUGAUGAACGAUCUAAGAGUCAAACUAAUCAAAGGAUCAGUAAAUCUUGAUGUCGUUUCAAUUGUUGGAAUGCCUGGAUUAGGCAAGACAACUCGGGCAAACGAACUAUAUUUUGAUGAGUUAGUUGUCUCUUAUUUUGAUAUCUGUGCUCACUGCUGUGUCUCUCAAGAAUAUAAACGGAAGGACUUGUUACUAUCCCUUCUACGUGAUGUUACUGAUGAUACAACAAAACUUGAUAGAGAGGCUGAAAAUGAAUUAGCAGACAAGUUUCAGAAACUUUUAAAGCCCAAGAGAUACCUUAUCCUCGUUAAUGAUGUCUGGAAAAUGAGUGCAUGGGAUGAUUUACUGUCAUGCUUCCCUAAAAAUAACAAAGGAAGUAGAAUUAUUCUAACAACUCGGCAUUAUGAAGUUGCAUCUUAUGCUAAACACGUUAGUGAUCCCCAUAAGCUUCGAUUUUUCAAUAUUGAUGAAAGUUGGACGCUAUUACAAAACAAGGUGUUCAACAAAGAAAGAUGUCCCCUGGUCUUAGAGGUUGUCGGCAAAAGCAUAGCACAAAAGUGUGGAGGGCUUCCUCUUUCAAUGGUUCUGGUAGCAGGUAUCCUCACUAGAAUGAAGAAGGAAAAACAUUGCUGGGAACAAGUAUCAACAAAUUUAAGUCCAAAUAUUCAGGCUCAAUCGGAGGGCACACUAGAUCUGAGUUAUCAGAAUCUACCACAUUAUUUGAAACCGUGUUUUAUAUAUAUGGGAGUAUUUUCCAGAGGACAGAGAGAUUCAAGUCUCAAAAUUAACAUGGUUGUGGAUAGCUGAGGGUUUCAUUAACACGCACAUGGAGAAGCUUUCUGAGGAUAUAGCAAAAUUUUACUUGGAAAAUCUUAUAGGGAGAAACCUAGUGAUGGUUGCUAAAAAGAGCUCUGAUUGAAGGAUCAAGACAUGUCGCAUUCAUGACCUGGUGCUUGAAUUUUGCAGGAAGAAAGCGAAGUUGGAGAACUUUUUAGAAAGGAUAAGGGACAGAGGUUCAGAUCCUUCUCAAUUUUUCCCUCCAAUGUGUAAUACUUCACGCCGCUUAUACCUUUAUUCUCAAAGUGAAAAUCUUUCAAAAUGGUGUUUAUUUUUCUCUCAUGUGAAAUCUUUCCAGUUCAGGGAGGCUAGAAAUAUUGCAUUCUCUUCAAUAGACUGUGUUUCAAACACUUUUAAAAAUUUCAAAUUUCUAAGGGUAUUAGACUUUGAACUCACCAUGAUUGAUUCUAUCCCACAAGAAUUAACCCUUUUGAAGUAUCUUGCUUUUCGGACUGCAGAAGAUGAAUUAUCACUCCCGGACAAUCUUCGUAACCUUGAAACAUUGAUAGUUCAAGGACUUAAGAGGACGAGUAUCAUUAUCAGAUACCAUUUGGAAGAUGGUUAAGUUGCGGCAUCUUCACAUCUAUGAUCGAGCAUUCUUCACUUUGAACAGUGGAGAAAAAUUCUCAGAAUGCCAAUCGACAAUGGUUAAUUUGCAAACUGUUUCCUGAGCAUGUUUUUUUUUGUGUGGACAAUGCCGAUAAGAUCUUGGAGAAGACACCAAAUCUUCGGAAACUGAGAUGUGAAGUUUCCAAAUUUGAUGGCUCGUUUCCUUCAUUUAGCAAUAUUACAAAUCUUGAAAUGCUCAAGGUUUCUCCCGGCACUACAUUGACUUGGAUCAAUCAGUUGAAGUUACCAUCAAGCUUGAAGAAGUUGACACUGUCCAAUUUUCACAUACGUCUUACUGAAGUUGCAAACCAUCCAAAACUCGAGGUACUCAAGGUUGUUAGGAGUUACCCUUAGCUCCAAUGUAUGGGAAGUGAAUGAUGAGCAGUUCCUUCAACUCAAAUUCUUGAAACUAGAAAAUCAUUCUUUUUCAGAAUGGGAUGCCUCAGAUAAUGCCUUUCCAUGCCUUGAACACUUGGUAUUAAGAAGAUGUCGACAUCUUAAGGCGAUUGCUUCUUAUUUUGGGAAUGUCUCCUCCCUGAAAUUAGUUGAGAUAAUAUCGUGCAAUGAAGAACUUGUCAAGUCAGCCGAGGCCAUCAGGGAAGAAUUAGAGGGAAUGUCGGGAAAUUCUGGUUUCGAGCUCUUCAUCCCCAAGCAGCAAAAAAACAGGUGUGGUGUUGAUCUAGUGCAACUGAAGUUAAACAUGUUUAUUUGUACACUAGCUCAUUGAGUAUUCGCUUUGACACCCUGUUACACGAACUUACGUUUUACUUUGAAAUGGUAGAACCGUAGAACUAUCAAUCAAAUUAUGAUGAUACUUUUGUUAAAGUUUGGCAAAAUGCCAAAGUCCCACAUUGGUUGGGAGUUAAGUUUGGAGGGGAUUUUUCCCCUAUAAAAG